UUUAAUGUUUCCUGUAAACUGUUCUGAUGGGAUCUACUGUCUCAGCCUGGCCAUUUAAGUCAUUUAAAUGUUCACGACUGUCAAUUUAGUGGCUUUUAAUUUGUUGUGCAAUACAUUGCAUUCGUGCCUUAUUAUUUCUUUAAAGCGAUGGUGAUGUGUGCUAUUAUUUCAGAUUAUGACUGUUAGCUGACAAACAUAACAUGCUCUUGCUGUGUUGAUUUGUGCUACUGUCUCUAAAUGUUUCCAGCUCAAGCUUUUGUAGAUGUUGUUAUGUGUGCAUGUGUUUUUAAUCCUCUAAAGCAUUUGUAAGGAAAUACUUUGUAAACUGUCAACCAGUCUGUACAUCUCAUCUCUUUGUCCCACUACAGAACAGCUCACAUUUCAUGAGACAUGCAAAGAGAAAGAAGCUGAGUGUGGAAGACUUCAAUAGAGCACUAAGGUGGAGCAAUACUGAGACUGUUUGCGGCUAUGGUGCACAAGAUGCCUUACCAUUCCACGCAUUAAAGGAAGGAGAGCUUUUCUUUGUAGAAGAUCGGGAGAUAAAUCUGGUGGAGUUGGCGCUUGCUACUAAUAUUCCCAAAGGCUGUGCAGAGACGAUGGUUCGAGUGCAUGUGUCAUAUCUUGAUGGAAAAGGCAAUCUGGAAUUUCAAAGGACAAGUAAACCUCAUAUUUGAAUUGAUUUGUCAGGUGCAUCUGUAUGUUCCUAUUUUAUUUAAUAUACAUUUUAUUUAUAUGACCCAUAUGAACAAGAACAUUGUAAAACACAAAAUACAGUCAU